rnacentral:rRNA from 1 species
AGAGUUUGAUCCUGGCUCAGGAUGAACGCUAGCUACAGGCUUAACACAUGCAAGUCGAGGGGCAGCGGGAUUGAAGCUUGCUUCAAUUGCCGGCGACCGGCGCACGGGUGAGUAACGCGUAUCCAACCUUCCGUACACUCAGGGAUAGCCUUUCGAAAGAAAGAUUAAUACCUGAUGGUAUCUUAAGCACACAUGUAAUUAAGAUUAAAGAUUUAUCGGUGUACGAUGGGGAUGCGUUCCAUUAGGUAGUAGGCGGGGUAACGGCCCACCUAGCCAACGAUGGAUAGGGGUUCUGAGAGGAAGGUCCCCCACAUUGGAACUGAGACACGGUCCAAACUCCUACGGGAGGCAGCAGUGAGGAAUAUUGGUCAAUGGACGAGAGUCUGAACCAGCCAAGUAGCGUGAAGGAUGAAGGUCCUACGGAUUGUAAACUUCUUUUAUAAGGGAAUAAACCCUCCCACGUGUGGGAGCUUGUAUGUACCUUAUGAAUAAGCAUCGGCUAACUCCGUGCCAGCAGCCGCGGUAAUACGGAGGAUGCGAGCGUUAUCCGGAUUUAUUGGGUUUAAAGGGAGCGCAGACGGGUCGUUAAGUCAGCUGUGAAAGUUUGGGGCUCAACCUUAAAAUUGCAGUUGAUACUGGCGUCCUUGAGUGCGGUUGAGGUGUGCGGAAUUCGUGGUGUAGCGGUGAAAUGCUUAGAUAUCACGAAGAACUCCGAUUGCGAAGGCAGCACACUAAUCCGUAACUGACGUUCAUGCUCGAAAGUGUGGGUAUCAAACAGGAUUAGAUACCCUGGUAGUCCACACGGUAAACGAUGGAUACUCGCUGUUGGCGAUAUACUGUCAGCGGCUUAGCGAAAGCGUUAAGUAUCCCACCUGGGGAGUACGCCGGCAACGGUGAAACUCAAAUGACAU